rnacentral:rRNA from 1 species
UGCAGUCGAACGAUGAAGCCCAGCUUGCUGGGUGGAUUAGUGGCGAACGGGUGAGUAACACGUGAGUAACCUGCCCUUAACUCUGGGAUAAGCCUGGGAAACUGGGUCUAAUACCGGAUAGGAGCGCCUACCGCAUGGUGGGUGUUGGAAAGAUUUAUCGGUUUUG